CGGAACCCGAACGGAAGCGGGCUCGCACCGACGAGGUGCCUGCCGGAGGAAGCCGCUCCGAGGCGGAAGAUGAGGACGACGAGGACUACGUGCCCUAUGUGCCGUUACGGCAGCGCCGGCAGCUACUGCUCCAGAAGCUGCUGCAGCGAAGACGCAAGGGAGCUGCGGAGGAAGAGCAGCAGGACAGCGGUAGUGAACCCCGGGGAGAUGAGGACGACAUCCCGCUAGGCCCUCAGUCCAACGUCAGCCUCCUGGAUCAGCACCAGCACCUUAAAGAGAAGGCUGAAGCCCGCAAAGAGUCUGCCAAGGAGAAGCAGCUGAAGGAAGAAGAGAAGAUCCUGGAGAGUGUUGCCGAGGGCCGAGGUAUGGUUGUAGCCAGGAUAGUGAGAAGGUGGACUGAGUCUUCUCCUCCCAGCCCCAGGCAUGUUAUAUCUCAAGGGAUCUGGUUUCUCAGAAGCAGGAGCCAGCCCUGAGCCAUGUCUCUCUCUUCAGCAUUGAUGUCGGUGAAGGAGAUGGCUAAGGGCAUUACGUAUGAUGACCCCAUCAAAACCAGCUGGACUCCACCCCGUUAUGUCCUGAGCAUGUCUGAAGAGCGACAUGAGCGCGUGCGGAAGAAAUACCACAUCCUGGUGGAGGGAGACGGUAUCCCACCACCCAUCAAGAGCUUCAAGGAAAUGAAGUUUCCUGCAGCCAUCCUGAGAGGCCUGAAGAAGAAAGGCAUUCACCACCCAACACCCAUCCAGAUCCAGGGCAUCCCCACCAUUCUAUCUGGCCGUGACAUGAUAGGCAUCGCUUUCACGGGUUCAGGCAAGACACUGGUGUUCACGUUGCCCGUCAUCAUGUUCUGCCUGGAACAAGAGAAGAGGUUACCCUUCUCAAAGCGCGAGGGGCCCUAUGGACUCAU
rnacentral:sRNA from 1 species